rnacentral:lncRNA from 1 species
UCAGAGCCAUCAGGCUCACGCCAUGGAUUCUGAUGGUUUCUCUUCAUAGUAGUUUACAAUUUUUUUUUUUUUUUGUUGUCUCUUCCUAGUUUAGUUUCUCUUCAAAUUUCCAUUAGAUUCAGCGAUUGUUCUUGUGUUGAUUUUCUGUGCUCCGUUCUGUUCGCCAUUUGCAACGACGCUGUUGGGCUGCGAGAGAACCUUCGCAGUCAUGGUUCGAGAUUUUCGGUUCUUGAAUUGGGAAUUUUUCAUAUUUUCAUCAAGGUGUUCAAUGGCUCGGGUCCACUCUGGUUCAGGUUUCUGCGACUGAGAGCAGAGUUUGAUUUCUUUGCACCGUUGAUUCACUGCUUCUUCUUCAUGUUCUCUUGCUGAUGAGAGACGAGUAUGCAUGUUGCUCAUCUGGGUAAAUACUGCAAAGUUGUUGGGUGAAAAUAAUCACAUGGAUUAGUUGACAUCAGAGGGUAUAUUAGUUGUCAAUAAAAUCCAUACUCCCAAUCAUACGCAAAGGAUCAGAGUGGAGCUUCCUCCAAGCAUCGUUGGCAGAUUGAGGAUUUUCCUCGAAGAGAGCUCCCAGCGCGGUUGGCUAUUACUGCUUAGCGGGGAGGGACCUAUUUAUUGCUUGGCUCUGAUGGCAGACCGGCCUUCACGAAUGGGCACAGUGGCGUCCCCAUCUUCUUCUUCUUUCUAUCGACUGUUCGAAUUUUGUUGCUUCCCUUGCGAUUUUGCUAAACUUUAUCCAGCUCCAGGAUAAGCCUUCAGAAUUUCUCUUCUGUGUUGCUGAUUGGACAGUGGGAUCUUGGACUUGGUCAGGUUGUUUCUUGUAUUUGUCCUCUUCUUUAUGCAUAUAUGGUGUUUGUGAAAAUGUCUGAAUGAAACUAAAUGCCGCAAGGAGAUCGGUGAUCUGGAAAUUUGGUUCUUUCCGCUGUUAUCGUCUUCAAGGGUUGUUGCAGAGGUGCGAAAUCAGAGUGUUGGAUUCUUCUGGGCUUUAAUUCGAAGAUUAUAGUCAAUUUUUGAUUUCUGGGUUGCUAAAUUCUCAAGAUGUUGAAGUGGGAUAUUUCUGAUUGAUCUGGGAUAUAUGAGUUGAUUUGGGUGUUUGUGUUCAUCUGCAUAUAUUGUAUUGGAUAUGGUGAUGUGUUGAAAUACGAAGUUUUGUAGUCAAGAAAGUGUCAAUCUUUCCAGAAAGUGUCAUUAUUUCUGCAUCAAGAACGUGUGGGUACAAGAAAGUGUUAUUCUUUCUGCAUCAACAACGUGUGGGAGUUUCUACGAUUCUGAUGAUCUGGUGAAGACUUUCGCUGGUUUGGGUGCUGCUUGAAGAUUGGGUGUUUGGUGAUCUGAAACGGCGCUGUAUGGUUGUUUGGAGAUUUGGUGGUGCGAUUUUGGUAAAUCAGGUGAAUUCGUUUACUGGUUUUGUUUGUUGCUUAUUUCUUGAAGCUGUGGCCUUUGAUGUACUUUCGAGAUUUUAUUGAAGUGAAGAUUUGGAGCUUUUUUGGUAGAAUCUUGAUGUGUUGAUCUCUGCAAGUAUUAGUUUUCUUGUCAAUUUAAAGAAGAAAGUGUCAUUCUUUCUAUGAAUCUUGGAGUUUCAUUCUCCUAAGUUGCCGUAUGAUUUGGAGUUUCAUUCUCCUAAGUUACAUUAUGAUUUGUGUUCAUGGAGUGUCAGUCUCCUUAUUUGGUAUUUUUUUAGUAGAAGUUUGAGAUUUGUGUUGUGCUUUGGAGUGUCAUUCUCCUUGGCUGAUUUGGUUUCUUGGAGUGUCAUUCUCCUUGGUAGAUUUAGUUUCUUGGAGUGUCAUUCUCCGUGGUAGUUUAGUUUCUUGGGAGUGUCAUUCUCCUUGGUAGAUUUAGUUUCUUGGCAGUGUCAACUAUGGCUUCUCAGUUCACAGUCGAAAAUUUGUUUGGGUAUGUUCAGACCAAGACCACGAAGCACAGCUCUUUCUCCCGCAACCAUCGUGUACUUUGGAACAUCCUGUGCCAUCACAGAACCACCACCAAUAAAUGAGAAAUAGCCAACAUGGCAAAAUUGAUGAACGACAACAGCCUCAGUUUCAGCGUUCUAGCUCGUUCAACCUUCACUUGGCUACACCAAGUUCAGUUUGAGGGGGGAGUAUUAACCAUAGUCAUUAGUGAUGACAUGGUUACUUAGUAAUGAAGAAUAUAGUUAGUUGAAAUGUAUUGGUAGGUUGUCAUAAGGAUAAGAUUGGUUAGUAUAGUUAGAAGGGUAUUAUUGUAAUUAG